GAGGAGACUCGAGGUCUAUUUAGGGAGGCACCUGGGGGGCCCUCAGGAUGGUGAGCCGCUGCUGCCAAAGGCAAGCCAGAGGCGCCUGGCAGAGAUGCCACCAAAUGCUGCAGCCUCUAGAGCCCGUGUGCCAGGUGUUGGAGGGUGGUGGUGGGAAGGACUCAGGGAUGUGCUGGGGGAUAUUGAGGGCUAUUUGCGAUGGGGGUGGGGCAGGGUGCUGGAGAGCAGGAAUCCAGCAGGUGUGCAUACGCGUUGGGGUGUAUGAGAGUGAGCGCUGGGGAUGCUAGAGGUGUGUGCCUGGGGGGAGUGGGCCUGGCUUCGGAAAGUGGGGAGUGUCGGCCUCUGGGGUGUGGGUUAGUGUUGGGGGUUAGUGUUGGGGCUUCGUUCAGGGGUGGGUGGAUUGCAAUGUCUCUGGGCUGGGAACGUGGGUGGGGUGUCUGUAAUGAGCAUAUGGGGAGUUGGAGAUGGUGGGGGCACGGUGAGGAGAGCUAUGUUAGUGCAGAUAUCGCAGGGAUGUGCUGGGCGUGUGUGUGCGCGCGCGCGCGCGCGCCUGGGUGUGUACUGAGGCGUGGCAGCGUCUGGGAUGGGUGCUGGCCUGAGUUGGGGACAGUAGUGGAUGGUGUUCGUGGCUGCUGGCGUGUGCACUGCAGGGACCUGGGUCCGUGGUGCAUGGUUUGUGCACGCGCGUCAGGGUGGAGGAUGCGUGCUUCUGUGGUCCAGGGACCUCCCCCUGCAUGUGAUCACUGGAGACACCUGUGCUGGGCAUCAGGGCACAUGGCCACAAACAUACAGAGCAACCAUCUUUGUAACAGCAUGAGAAGUGAAAUCAACCCCAGCAUUCAUCAAGCUGGCAAUGGGUCUAAAUGGAUGGAAGUCAGUCCCGCAACAGAAUAGAAUGCUCAGAGGAUGAAGGGACCCCAGCUCUUACGGAGCACCAUGGAAACAGUUUUAAACAUGAAUAGUUCAGCUGAAUUACCUGUGGUGAGACACCAUGAUCCUGUGUUGGCCUGAAACCUGUCUGCAUCAUUGCCUCGCCAGGGAGCUGGAGGGCCCGGUGCUCUGACUCUGAGGCCUUGGUCAGGCCAGUUGGAACCCCGGGCUGGUGGGUACCCGUGCUUAAAGUGCUGAAAUACUUCUGCUCCCACUGGUAAAUGGCAGCUCCAAUGCUCCGCACCUGCUGGUCCCCCGCCCACAUCUUGAUCCUGUAACUAGCACCAGCCGGUACAGCAGAGGCCCUCUGAGACCCUGCU